rnacentral:misc_RNA from 1 species
GCCCGUGUUAUUUCGUUAUACGAGGUUUUCUAUUAAACAUCAACCUAAGAAUAUUUCCUACCUGCUUUCCAAUUACACGACAAUAUAUUGUAUGAAAUGAAUCAUUAGAAAAGUUGUAUUUUGUGGGACAAAUUAAAAUGAAGCUAUCAAUAGGACGCUAUAGAUCCGUUCUUAUGACACAAUAUGCCUUCCUCAUCACUGAUCUACUCAUCAACACGUUUUGUGAAUACCUACGUUUUGAAAGUGUGAUUCUCCUUGUCAUUUUUGUGAUUCAGGAUGUUUGUUUGAUAUUUUCUUUAAUUAUCGUAUUUCUCUCCUUCUUCUCAACCUAUGUCUUUCAAGCUGGAUUAGUUGGAGUCCUCUUUAACGAAUUCAAAACCCCGAUUUUCGUAACUAUUACAUAUAUUUGUUUAUCUAUUGGUUUUCAUAUCUGGAGUCUGAAUGUUCGAUGGUAUGACCCUGUUUCUUUUUGGUGGACAGAUGGACUUGUUGCCUUAUAUGUAUUUCAGAGAUCAAUGUCGACGUUAUAUUACUAUUAUUACAAAAGGACAGCGUUACAGAUAACGAAUCCUAAGUUUUAUGAUGACUCUUCCUGGAUUCAAGGAGAAUGGGGACGAUAAAUAACACUAUACAGCAGCAUUUUUACCCAAGGGCUCAAAUCCACAUUUAAUAUUUUAAAGUAAGACUAGUUAAUGUGUAUAAUAACUGAACUAGACAAUUGAUGUGGAUAAUAACUGAAAAAAAAUAAUUAAUGUGCAAAAUCAUUGAAA